UACAGAGGGGGCAAGCGUUAUUCGGAAUUAUUGGGCGUAAAGGGCGCGUAGGCGGCUUGGCAAGUGGAAGGUGAAAUCCCUCGGCUUAACCGAGGAACUGCCCUCCAAACUGCUUUGCUUGAGGCCGGGAGAGGUGAGUGGAAUUCCCAGUGUAGCGGUGAAAUGCGUAGAUAUUGGGAGGAACACCAGUGGCGAAGGCGGCUCACUGGACCGGUCUGACGCUGAGUGCGAAAGCGUGGGGAGCAAACGGGG
rnacentral:rRNA from 1 species